rnacentral:rRNA from 1 species
GACGAACGCUGGCGGCGUGCUUAACACAUGCAAGUCGAACGAUGAAGCCGGAGCUUGCUCUGGUGAAUUAGUGGCGAACGGGUGAGUAACACGUGAGUAACCUGCCCUUGACUCUGGGAUAACUGCUAGAAAUGGUAGCUAAUACCGGAUACGACCCUCGGCGGCAUCGCCAGGGGGUGGAAAGAAUUUCGGUCAAGGAUGGACUCGCGGCCUAUCAGCUAGUUGGUGAGGUAACGGCUCACCAAGGCGACGACGGGUAGCCGGCCUGAGAGGGUGACCGGCCACACUGGGACUGAGACACGGCCCCGACUCCUACGGGAGGCAGCAGUGGGGAAUAUUGCACAAUGGGCGCGAGCCUGAUGCAGCAACGCCGCGUGAGGGAUGACGGCCUUCGGGUUGUAAACCUCUUUUAGUAGGGAAGAAGCGAAAGUGACGGUACCUGCAGAAAAAGCACCGGCUAACUACGUGCCAGCCGCCGCGGUAA